rnacentral:rRNA from 1 species
GACGUAGGAGGCGAGCGUUAUCCGGAUUCACUGGGCGUAAAGCGCAUGUAGGCGGUUUGGUAAGUCCGUUGUUAAAGCCCCCGGCUCAACUGGGGGAGGUCAAUGGAGACUCCUAGACUUGAGGGCAACAGAGGCACAUGGAACUCCCGGUGUAGCGGUGGAAUGCGUAGAGAUCCGGAAGAACACCGGUGGCGAAGGCGGCCUGCUGGGCAGUGACCGUAAGGUCUUAAAAGCUGACGCUGAGGCGCGACAGCGUGGGGAGCAAACAGG